rnacentral:lncRNA from 10 species
UUUCAAGCAGCAAGCAGCCAGACCUGAGUUCAACUACAAAUUUGGUGCCCUGUGUGAAGAGCUGUGCUUUCACAAUGGUUUAGCCUCCCCAUGUGAAGAACUGUCUGCCUGGUUUCCAACAAGUAGAGUAACUAGCUAUGGCAGUGUGCCAGGGCUUACCCACUCAUGCUACCAGGCAGUGACAGUUGCUCAUAAAUUCCAGCUGCUCAUGGCUAGCUGAUUCCGUGGCUGAAACUCUAUGGAGCUCCUCAGCAGCUACCAAGAUGCUUUUGUCUUGGGGAUCUUCCCAUCUUCCUCCUUCACCCUACCCCCAGUGGCAUCAGCUGCAUAUAAUGCUGUACUGGUGCAGGUAAAGUGACAUCUGGGAAAUCAAUGGGCUUCAAGGCUUGGUUCAGGUCCCACCAGAAAAAAUGAGCCUGAUUUUCUGAAAGCAGCAAGUUUUCCCUUUCCAGGUCCGCAUAUCCCACAGACAAGCCUCUUCACCCUUUCUACCCAAGAGAUAAAGUGCUGCUGAAGUCUUGGGAAAACAAAGGACAAAACCAACAGCUGCUGAAAAGUGGACAGGAUAUCAAUGAACUGCUAACCACCCACUCAUUAGUGAAGCUGUCUGGCGUUAAGCCAUGGAUAUAUCAUACUCAGGUGAAGGCUGCCCCUUCUCCACCUCAGAUAACCAACCUGCCUGGACCUAUGAAUCAGAGAGAGACCUAAAUUGUUUCUUUAAAAGAACCUUGACAAUAAGUAGAAACUUCUUUCUUUGCUCUCAUAAUAUAAAGCUCUUAUUAGUUUUUAUCAUAAUAAGUACAUUUUUUGUGCUCGCUAAAACUAAUAAUUUUUUGCUGUAGUAGGCACAGCACUAUGCACAGUUUACAACAAGAAAAUUUGCUGAAUAUGUGGUCAAUAACCCUUUUCCAACAACUCUGGUCUGCCUUAGUAGGUUUUACCUAUGCAGGGAAAUGACUGGCAGUAUCUGAAAACAUUCAUUAAAAUUCUGAAACAAUAUGCCAGGCACUGUAGCUCACGCUUAUAAUCCCAGCACUUUGGGAGGACAAGAUGGGAAAAUUGCUUGAGCCCCAGAGUUCAAGUGCAGCCUACACAACAUGGCAAGGCCCCGUCUCUACAAAAAAAAUUUAAAAAUUAGCCAGGCAAGGUGGUGCAUGCCAGCUGUUGUCCCAGCUACUCAGGAACCUAAGGCAGGAGCCUAAGGCUCUCUGAGCCAGGGAGGCUGAGAUUUUAGUGAGCUAUAGUCAUACCACCGCACUUCAGCCUAGGUGACAGAGUGAGACCCUGACUCAAAAAAACAAAAAUUUUUAAACAAUAGGGUGGUGUGAUGGCUUACACAACCAGGAGCAAUGUGAUCAAUUGGCCAAUUAAUAAAACUCUCAGUGAUUCCAGACAUGGGAAGCCUUUCUCAAUGAAUAUCACAUAAGAAUAUGUGAACAGCUAUAACCAAUCUGCAACUAAGUCCUAAGAUAAAAUCUAGCAAUUCUCACUGUAAAGAAGUUUUUCUUCAUAUUUGAGAUGGUUUCAUUUUGUUGACAUCAACUGCAGGGCAGUUGAGUCAAGUAGCUCCUCUAUACUGGAAGCAUCAAAAUGACACCUGUGACUCAUCACCCAAUCUUAUUUGAAUACUGAGCUUGAUUUCCCAAGAACACUGUCAGCAUAUCAUAAUUUUGCAAGCCACAGAUUUGUUUGCCACAGAUUGGUCUCAGUGUUCCGGCUUAAACUGGUAUUAGUCCAACAGCACUGAAUGGCUGUAUGGCCCUAAUAUCUCACUUUGCUUGCCAUUGGAAUGACUAGGACAAUGUACUUUAGGUUUCCCAUGGGUGCAAGGGCAAUGGAGAAAGUACAAUCAAAAACUUGCUAAUCCCCCACACCUAAUUAAGACACGGACUAGAUCCAUUUUUCACUGGUAUGACUAUUUGGCUUCAAUCCUUAUGCCAUUAGCAGGAUUGAAGAUGUCAUCCAAUAUGUAGAAACCCUUGCAAAUUAUACCCAGUGGGUUAUCAAUGACAGCCUCCAAAGUAUCUCCUUAGUAAACUCUGGGAUGACCUACAUGCAAGAAGCUGUUCUGAAGAACUGCAUGGCUUUGGAUAUCUUUGCUGCACGAAGGGGACCUUGUGUCUUGUGCCAUUAUUAAAACUGAAUAUUGCGUAUAUAUUCCAGGUAAGUAAGGGAAUAUUUCUAUCCUUCUAGGAUAUGCACAAACGGAUUAAUGCUAUGUCUGACCUUAUGAUGUCACUAGACCAAUGGCUAUCUUAUUUGUUUGGGCCAGGAACUUCUUGGUGGAAAAAGCUGCUCAUAAUUCUAGCGAUGAUUUUAGGAAUAGGUGUGCUUCUUUGCUGGGGAUUAUAUAUUGCCAUACAUUCUGUAUGAAUGUGAGGGCUCUUGAGCCCUCCAACAGAUCUCUCCUAUAAGUCCAGGUAUUCAGGAAUAUUUUCAAAUCCACGUAGACUGGUUACAUUCCCUGAACAUCUCCAUCAAGGAGGAAGUAGCUAGAUUGAAUACAUUACCCACCUUCUAAAGAAAUAAAAUGGAAGUUGAC